GGCGGGAGUAAUGACAUGGCGGGUUGAGGCCAGUCGGAGGAGGAGGAGGCAGGGCAAGGAGGCAUCCCGCCCCGGUCGCGAACGCGGGUGACGAAUUCAACCCUCUUUGGCUCACACAAGGAGCGGCUCACUCUCCGACGACUCCACAGCCUCCGCUUUUCGUCUCCGGUACUCGGUCCGGAAUGCCACCACCAUGCAGCACGCGCCAAGCAUGGCAAUCCCGGCAAACAGCAAUACGGAGACUGUGAGGAGAAGCCGGCACAACAAAUAAGUAUAUGCCACCCUGACAGGGGUGUAAAACGCAGCAGAACACCGACCCAAUGCAGGGCCGUGCAAAC